UCUGAAAACUCCUCUUUCAACAUAUCUUCAUCCUUAGUGAAUGCCAAGCAUUUUGCUGCACUAUUAGGAAGUUGCACAUGAUUUAAAAUCUCUCCAACUCCUGGGUGGCAUUUACUGACUCUGGAAUUGUCGGUCCUCAGGUAACUAAACAGUCUGAUACUGGAUCUACAUGCCCUGCCACAGGUAAGGAUCUGUCUGCGGCAAUUCACUCUGAGCUGACCCCUGCUGUGACAGUACGGGAGGGCUGUCUUCAAAAAGUAUUGGUGAAAUGUCUCCUAAAUCUUCAGUGGAUUGCUGGAAAUUCUCCAUGUUCUCUUUUACUGCAUCGAUAUUUAGAAAAAUAAUC